GUCUUUUUGUAAUUUAUAUAAAGUCUAACCUGCCCAUUGAUUAAUUUAAAAGGCUGCGGUAUUUUGACCGUACAAAGGUAGCAUAAUCAUUAGUUUUUUAAUUGAAAACUGGUAUGAAUGGUUGAAUGAAAAAUUAACUUUUUUAGAUAAAAUAUUGAAUUUUACUUUUUAAUUAAAAGGUUAAAAUAAAUUUAAAAGACGAGAAGACCCUAUAGAGUUUUAUAAUUUAUUAUAUAUUUUUAAAAAAGAUUAAAUAAAUUUUUAUAAAAUAAAUUAUUUUGUUGGGGUGAUAUUAAAAUUUAAAUAACUUUUAAAAAUUAUACCAUUAAUAUAUGAAUAAAUGAUCCAUUAUUAAUGAUUAAAAAUUUAAAUUACCUUAGGGAUAACAGCGUAAUUUUUUUUUAAGUUCUUAUUAAUAAAAAAUUUUGCGACCUCGAUGUUGGAUUAAGAUUUAAUUU
rnacentral:rRNA from 1 species